UGACGAACCAUGAUGUAAUUUAUUUGGUGUUGUGGGGAAUCAGGACUGUUACUUUGAAAAAAUUAGAGUCGUUUAAAGCAGGCUCACGCUUGAAUACAUUAGCAUGGAAUAAUGAAAUAGGACGUUUGAUUCUAUUUUGUUGGUUUCUAGGAUCGACGUAAUGAUUAAUAGGGAUAGUUGGGGGCAUUAGUAUUCAAUUGUCAGAGGUGAAAUUCUUGGAUUUAUUGAAGACUAACUACUGCGAAAGCAUUUGCCAAGGAUGUUUUCAUUAAUCAAGAACGAAAGUUAGGGGAUCGAAGACGAUCAGAUACCGUCGUAGUCUUAACCAUAAACUAUGCCGACUAGGGAUCGGAUGAUGUUAAUUUUUUAAUGACUCGUUCGGCGCCUUACG
rnacentral:rRNA from 1 species